rnacentral:rRNA from 1 species
CGCCUUUUGAUAUACAUUCAUAAAAGGUCCUGCCUGCCCAGUGACUCUGUUUAACGGCCGCGGUAUCAUGACCGUGCAAAGGUAGCGUAAUCACUUGUCUUUUAAAUAAGGACUAGUAUGAACGGCAACACGAGGGUUCAACUGUCUCACUAAAUUAGUCAGUGAAAUUUAUUUUUCCGUGCAGAAGCGGAAAUAAUUAUAUAAGACGAGAAGACCCUGUGGAGCUUUAAAUCUAAAUUAAUACUCAACAGUACCAUAACAUCCGAUUUUAGGUUGGGGCGACCAUGAGGAAAAACAAACCCUCAAGACAAUAACCAGAGAGACAUCUCUAACAAAUAAUAACAUUAUAUAUUGACCCAAUAAUUGAUCAACGAACCAAGUUACCCCAGGGAUAACAGCGCAAUCCACUCACAGAGCCCAUAUCGACGAGCGGGUUUACGACCUCGAUGUUGGAUCAGGACCACCUAGUGGCGCAGCAACUACUAAGGGUUCGUUUGUUCAACGAUUAAAGUCCU